GAGACUUGACCUUUCUUGAGGAUAGAGCCAGGAGUGUCUGCCUGGCCUGUGAACGAUGCUGGGAGGAUCUCAGAGGAGGAGGCAAAUGCAUGUGUUAAACUGGAUUCCUGGGGCUCUGCUGUGCAUCUGAAGUUGGGUAUUCCAUGUCUGGGAUAUCUCUAAGUUCCCUCAGAGGACUAGGAGGUUUGGCCAGCUUUGCCCACACUGAGGGACCAGAGGGUCAUUCUUCCUGGUGCUUCUGUGCUUCUUCAGAGGAGUCCAGGUGGUUCCUAGAAUGGUGAUGCCAAGUACAGGAAGUAGAAGAGAGUCCAAAGCUGCUUUGGGAAGCCUUCCUUUAACUCAUGCUAUGAGAAGUUGGGUGGCCUAGGUUCAGAACCAGGGUGCGUCUCUAAUGCUGUGCAAACUCGGGUGAAUCCUCUCUGGCCUGUGAGCAUCUUGAGGGCAAAAAUUAUCUCAUUUAUUCCAGAAUUCACAGAUUCAAGCAAGGACCUGUCACAUAAGAAAUGCUCGAAGUAACUAAGCUGAAGCUGAUGUUUACCGUCCCGGGCAUGUGUCAUCUUCUAUUUAUGCAUGCAAAACCUGCAAGUCUAUUGUUACAUAUAUUUCAAAAGUUUAUAUAAAUGGUAUAAUACUGUACACAUUUCUUUGCCAUUUAUUUUUUCAUUCCAUAUUUAUGUUCUGGAGAUUUACCAUAUUGGGAACAUGUUGAUCUAGUUUGUUCAUUUUAACUGUGAUAGAUGAUUUCAUUGUGUUUAUAAAGCAGCUUAUUUUCCUGUUCUCUUGCUGAGAGGCAGUUAGACUGCUCCUCACUUUUCUAUCACAUACUAAGAUGUGGUGAAUAUCCUUGACCACAUAUCCUUUUGCACAUGAAUAUGAGUUUCUCCAGGGCUUCCCAAGUGGUGCUAGUGGUAAAGAACCCACCUGCCAAUGGAAGAGACAUAGAUUCAGGUUCGACCCCUGGGUUGGGAAGAUCCCCUGGAGGAGGGCAUGGCAACCCACUCCAGUAUUCUUGUCUGGAGGAUCCCAUGGACAGAAGAGCCACAGUCCAUAGGGUCGCAAAGAGUCAGACACAACUGAAGUGACUUGGCAUGCACACACACCUGAGUUUCUCUAGGAUGCAUGGAAAACACUCUGGGUUCUGCACCCAGAUUCUAUGACCUGCAGGUGCAACUCAUCCCCCAGCUGCUGUGAGUGCUGGCUGCUAGGGAUUCACAGCUGCUCACAGCUUCUUGGGAACUUCUUUAUUCAGGAAGUUAUAAGUUACCCACCACCUUGCCCCCUACAUUGGGCAGCCCACAGUCAAUGACUGAUGGAUACAGCCAAUGACUGAUGGAUAAGUCUUAUCCGUCAAUGACUGAUGGAUAAGCCAAUGACUGGUGCAAAAGCCUGGCCUCUUUGCCUCAAGGCAGAUUCACUCUGCAACGUUACUAAUGCUUCAGAGCUCCCCAUGGGGUCAGAUUGAAGAUAAUCUCCAGCUGAGAACCUACCAUCACUUAACAUUUCUUCCUAUCCUAUCUGCCUGACCCUCUCUCUCCACCUGAGAGUCCUCCCUCUAGAAACCACCUGCACAAGGAUCUCGGGCACUGCUUAGGGGACCUAACUUCAGACAGGCACACACCUAACCUAAGGCAGAGCCACUGUGUCUCAGAUUUGCUCAUCUUAAAACGGUUUCCAAAUUGUUCUCCAAAGUAGUUGUACCAAUUUACGUUCCCACCAGCAGUUUACAAACAUUGCUGACCGCCCCCACCCACCACACUCAUCUAUUCCAGUGUUAUAGACUAAUUUUGCCAAUCAGAUUGUGUAAUAUGCUAAUUUUUGUUUUAAUUUGCAUUUCCGUGCUCACUAGUGAUAUUGAGAAUCUUGUUACUAUCUUUAUUGGCGUUCAAAUUUCUUCCCCUGUUAUUUGUCUGUUCACAUCUUUUGUCCAUUUGCUUACUGCUUUGGAAUGUCUAUGGUAAAUUGAUUCUUUGAGGCUUAAAUUUUUUAUUUUGGAGACUAAUUCUCUCUUGGCUGGUUAUCCAAGUUGAAAAUACCUUCUGCCAGCUGUGGCUUUAACAAAUUUGCUUAUUUUUUUGUCAUGUAGACAUUUUUGACUUUAAGGAAAUAAGAUUUAUCAUUUCCUUUCAUUUGUGUUUGUGUCUUAUUUAUUUUCUACUCUGAGAUC
ensembl:lncRNA